AUUGAACGCUGGCGGCAGGCCUAACACAUGCAAGUCGAACGGAGCGGGGGACGGGUGCGUGAGGCUUAUGAAUCUGCAUGUUCGUGGGGGAUAACGUCCAGAAACGGACGCUAAUACUGCAUCCUCUCAGAUGAGCCUAGGUCGGAUUAGCUAGUUGGUGGGGUAAAGGCAUACCAAGGCGACGAUCCGUAGCUGGUCUGAGAGGAUGAUCAGUCACACUGGAACUGAGACACGGUCCAGACUCCUACGGGAGGCAGCAGUGGGGAAGAUUGGACAAUGGGCGAAAGCCUGAUCCAGCCAUGCCGCGUGUGUGAAGAAGGGCUUCGGAUUGUAAAGCACUUUAAGUUGGGAGGCGUUACCAGCAGAAUAAGCACCGGCUAACUCCGUGCCAGCAGCCGCGGUAAUUC
rnacentral:rRNA from 1 species